rnacentral:rRNA from 1 species
AUGCGGAGGAAAAGAAACUAACAAGGAUUCCCCUAGUAACGGCGAGUGAAGCGGGAACAGCUCAAUUUUAAAAUCUGGCCCUUUCAGGGUCCGAGUUGUAGUCUAGAGAAACCACGUCCGCGCCGGACCUUGGACAAGUCGGUUGGAAUACCGCGCCAGUGAGGGUGACAGCCCCUUUAUUGCCAAGGACGACCGUGUGCAUUGUGUCGGGUUUUCAAAGAGUCGAGUUGUUUGGGAAUGCAGCUCUAAUCGGGUGGUAAAUUCCAUCUAAAGCUAAAUAUUGGCGAGAGACCGAUAGCGAACAAGUACCGUGAGGGAAAGAUGAAAAGCACUUUGGAAAGAGAAUGAAACAGUAUGUGAAAUUGCUGGAAGGGAAACGAUUGAGGUUAGACUUGCUGGCGCGACACUCAGCCCUCACGGGUGUAUUUGUUGCGCAUUGGCAGGCCAGCAUCGGUUUGCAGUCGGGUAAAAGGGUGCAGGGAACGUAGCAACCUCGCUGUUGUGUUAUAGACCUGCACUGGAUGCCCGAUCGCAGACCGAGGUCAGCAGGGCGCCGCAAGGCAAUGCCUCUUUGGCAUCGAGCCCUUAGGAUGCUGUGA